AAGACCUAAGACUAAGUACGCUACAUCCUGUGGCAACGUCUUUGGGACUCACAUCAUGUGG
rnacentral:sRNA from 1 species